rnacentral:rRNA from 1 species
GACGAACGCUGGCGGCGUGCUUAACACAUGCAAGUCGAGCGGUAAGGCCCUUUCGGGGGUACACGAGCGGCGAACGGGUGAGUAACACGUGGGUGACCUGCCCUCCAGCUCUGGGAUAAGCCCGGGAAACUGGGUCUAAUACUGGAUAUGACUCCAUGACGCAUGUUGUGGGGUGGAAAGCCUUGUGCGGCUGAGGAUGGGCCCGCGGCCUAUCAGCUUGUUGGUGGGGGNGA